rnacentral:rRNA from 1 species
GACGAACGCUGGCGGCGUGCCUAAUACAUGCAAGUCGAACGGUCUUUUUUAUGGAAGCUUGCUUCCACUGAGAAGAUAGUGGCGAACGGGUGAGUAACACGUGGGUAACCUGCCCAUAAGAGGGGGAUAACAUCCGGAAACGGGUGCUAAUACCGCAUAGUUUUCUUGAUCGCAUGAUCGAGAAAGGAAAGACGGCCUUUGUGCUGUCACUUAUGGAUGGACCCGCGUCGUAUUAGUUAGUUGGUGAGGUAACGGCUCACCAAGACGAUGAUACGUAGCCGACCUGAGGGGGUGAUCGGCCACAUUGGGACUGAGACACGGCCCAAACUCCUACGGGAGGCAGCAGUAGGGAAUCUUCCGCAAUGGACGAAAGUCUGACGGAGCAACGCCGCGUGAGUGAAGAAGGUUUUCGGAUCGUAAAACUCUGUUGUCAGAGAAGAACAAGUCGGAGAGAAACUGCUCCGGCCUUGACGGUAUCUGACCAGAAAGCCACGGCUAACUACGUGCCAGCCGCCGCGGUAAUAC